rnacentral:rRNA from 1 species
UGGGGAAUUUUGCGCAAUGGGGGCAACCCUGACGCAGCAACGCCGCGUGGACGAUGAAGCAUCUUGGUGUGUAAAGUCCUUUCGGCAGGGACGAAGCCCCGCAAGGGGUCGACGGUACCUGAAGAAGAAGCCCCGGCUAACUCCGUGCCAGCAGCCGCGGUAAUACGGGGGGGGCGAGCGUUGUUCGGAAUUAUUGGGCGUAAAGGGAGCGUAGGCGGUGCGGUAAGACUGGUGUGAAACCUUCAGGCUUAACUUGGAGCUUGCAUCAGUGACUGCCGUGCUAGAGUGCGGGAGAGGAUAGUGGAAUUCCCGGUGUAGCGGUGAAAUGCGUAGAUAUCGGGAGGAACAUCGGUGGCGAAGGCGGCUAUCUGGACCGCAACUGACGCUGAGGCUCGAAAGCUAGGGGAGCAAACAGGAUUAGAUACCCCCGUAGUCC